UUGUAAGGUUCAAGUUAUUAUGGGUUUACGGGGGAUGCCUUGGCGUCAAAAGCCGAAGAAGGGCGUAGCAAGUCUGCGAUAAGCCUCGGUUUGCUGACUAGCAAGCUUAGCCGGGGAUGCCCGAAUAGGAAAACCUGAUCAUAUGAUCGAUCUUUUUUUUAAAAGAUAGGUAAGCAGGAGAACUGAAACAUCUAAGUAUCCUGAGGAAAAUAAAUCAAACGAGAUUCUCUUAGUAGCGGCGAGCGAAACGAGAAAAGCCUAAACCGUGUGGGAUUUAUCCUGUGCGGGGUUGUAGGGCACUUUAUAUGAAAGUUACAAAAUGUCAUUUUAGUAGAAUAGUCUGGAAAGUCUAACCAUAGAGGGUGAAAGUCCCGUAAAUGAAAAAAUGAUAUCUUUCUAAGUGUACCUGAGUACGACGGGACACGUGAAAUCUUGUCGGAAUCCGGGGGGACCACCCUCCAAGGCUAAAUACUUUUGACGACCGAUAGUGAACUAGUACCGUGAGGGAAAGGUGAAAAGAACCCCGAGAGGGGAGUGAAAUAGAACUGAAACCGUAAACUUACAAACCGUGGGAGCUUGUUUUAUAUGAGUGACCGCGUGCCUAUUGAAGAAUGAGCCAACGAGUUACUUGAUAUGGCAAGAUUAAGAAGUUUAGCUUUGAAGUCGAAGCGAAAGCAAGUCUGAAUAGGGCGUUUAGUCGUGUCAAGUAGACCCGAAACCGUGUGAGCUACCUAUGGCCAGGUUGAAGCGAGAGUAAAAUCUCGUGAAGGACCGAACCCGUGUACGCUGCAAAGUGCUGGGAUGAGCUGUGGGUAGAGGUAAAAUGCCAAACGAACACGGAGAUAGCUGGUUCUCCCCGAAAUGUAUUUAGGUACAGCGUUAUGAAUUACUUUAUGGAGGUAGAGCACUGGAUAGACUAGGGAGCGUAAGCUUACCAAACCUAACCAAACUCCGAAUACCAUAAAGAGUAUCAUGGCAGUGAGACCGUGGGGGAUAAGCUCCAUUGUCGAAAGGGAAACAGCCCAGAUCGCAGGUUAAGGUCCCAAAGUAUAUGCUAAGUGUUAAACGAAGUAGGGUCGCCCAGACAGCCAGGAGGUUGGCUUAGAAGCAGCCAUCCUUUAAAGAGUGCGUAAUAGCCCACUGGUCAAGGGGCCCCGCACGGAAAAUAAACGGGGCUUAAGCAUAUCACCGAGACCGCGGGAUCUAAUUUAUUAGAUCGGUAGGGGAGUGUCGUUAAAGCGUUGAAGCUGAGUUGUAAGACUUGGUGGAGUUUUAACAAGUAAGAAUGUUGGCAUGAGUAGCAAAAAUGCCGGUGAGAAUCCGGCAGGCCGAAAGUCUAAGGAUUCCUACGCAACGUUGAUCGGCGUAGGGUUAGUCGGUCCUAAGGCGUAUCCGAAAGGAGAAGUCGAUGGACAGCUGGUAAAUAUUCCAGCACCUUUAAAUAAUUGUUUGAAUCAAAGAGGUGACGCGAACAGAUAAGCAGAGCAUACGUAUUGGACAUCGUGUGUUUUUGACCGUAGGAGAGUAGAGAAGGUUAAAAUAUUUUCUACGUUUGAUCUGAGGAGAAAGAAAACCAUGAGGUUAGCCUCGUGGAAUUCUGCCGAUUCUAAGUCGCCCAGAAAAACCUCGUUGAUUAGAUUUUUUGAAGACCGUACCGCAAACCAACACAGGUAGACAGGGAUAAACGUCCCAAGGCCUUCGAGAGAACCAUCGUUAAGGAACUCGGCAAAUUGACCCCGUAACUUAGGGAGAAGGGGGACCUUUAGUGUAUAUGAGCUAGCCUCAAAAAGCACAUAAGGUAGCAUAAAAUAGGCUGAAGCGACUGUUUACCAAAAACACAGGUCCAUGCCAAAGCGAAAGCUGAUGUAUAUGGGCUGACGCCUGCCCAGUGCCGGUAGGUUAAGGAAAGGAGUGCAAGCUCUUGACUGAAGCCCCGGUGAACGGCGGCCGUAACUAUAACGGUCCUAAGGUAGCGAAGUCCCUUGUCGGGUAAGUUCCGACCCGCACGAAUGG
rnacentral:rRNA from 1 species